AAAAUUCUUCGGGGCAGGGUGAAAUUCCCUACCGGCUGUGAUUGCGAAUGCAUAAGUCAGCGAGCCAAUGGCAUGAUAUGGUGUGAAUCCAUAACCGACAGUAAAGUCUGGAUGAGAGAAGACAGGA
rfam:Eubacterium ventriosum ATCC 27560 Scfld0220 genomic scaffold, whole genome shotgun sequence.